rnacentral:tRNA from 1 species
CGGGGCGUAGCUCAGUCUGGUCAGAGCGCCGCAUUUGGGGUGCGGAGGAUUCGCCGGUUCAAAUCCGGCCGCCCCGA